rnacentral:lncRNA from 1 species
UCUAAAUAUGUUCUUCCAAUGACCUGUAGCCUAAUCAACUCUGCUGGCAACACAUCCCUUUGCUCUGCUCAAUUCCAGUUUCCAUCAGAGAAUCUCAUUUUUCUUUUGGGAAAUGUUUCCUGAUUUUCGUCUUUUCCACCACCCCUCACUGAGGCUGGGUAAAGUCCUUCUCCAUGAUGUUUAGAACCCAGGCCUCCUUCUGUGGCAGGGCUCUCUACCC